GUGAAACUGCGAAUGGCUCAUUAAAUCAGUUAUCGUUUAUUUGAUAGUACCUUACUACUUGGAUAACCGUGGUAAUUCUAGAGCUAAUACAUGCUAAAAAUCCCGACUUUUUGGAAGGGAUGUAUUUAUUAGAUAAAAGACCAAUGCUCUUCGGAGCUCUUUGGUGAUUCAUGAUAACUUUUCGAAUCGCAUGGCCUCGAGCCGGCGAUGGUUCAUUCAAAUUUCUGCCCUAUCAACUUUCGAUGGUAGGAUAGUGGCCUACCAUGGUUUCAACGGGUAACGGGGAAUAAGGGUUCUAUUCCGGAGAGGGAGCCUGAGAAACGGCUACCACAUCCAAGGAAGGCAGCAGGCACGCAAAUUACCCAAUCCCGACACGGGGAGGUAGUGACAAUAAAUAACAUGGCAGGGCUAUUAUAGUCUUGUUAUUGGAAUGAGUACAAUUUAAAUACCUUAACGAGGAACAAUUGGAGGGCAAGUCUGGUGCCAGCAGCCGCGGUAAUUCCAGCUCCAAUAGCGUAUAUUAAAGUUGUUGCAGUUAAAAAGCUCGUAGUUGAACCUUGGGCUUGGUCAGCCGGUCCGCCUCAUUGGUGUGCACUGAUCUGACCGAGCCUUUCCUUCUGGGUAACCAUAGUGCUUUUUAUUAAGUGCUAUGGGGAACCAGGACUUUUACUUUGAAAAAAUUAGAGUGUUCAAAGCAGGCAUACGCUCGAAUAUAUUAGCAUGGAAUAAUAGAAUAGGACGUACGGUUCUAUUUUGUUGGUUCUCUAGGACCGUCGUAAUGAUUAAUAGGGACAGUCGGGGGCAUCAGUAUUCAAUUGUCAGAGGUGAAAUUCUUGGAUUUAUUGAAGACUAACUACUGCGAAAGCAUUUGCCAAGGAUGUUUUCAUUAAUCAAGAACGAAAGUUAGGGGAUCGAAGAUGAUCAGAUACCGUCGUAGUCUUAACCAUAAACUAUGCCGACUAGGGAUCGGGCGGUGUUCUUUUUGUGACCCGCUCGGCACCUUACGAGAA
rnacentral:rRNA from 1 species